GACGAACGCUGGCGGCGUGCUUAACACAUGCAAGUCGAACGGAAAGACCCUGCUUUUGUGUGGUUCUCGAGUGGCGAACGGGUGAGUAACACGUGAGUAACCUGCCCUUGACUUUGGGAUAACUUCAGGAAACUGGGGCUAAUACCGGAUAUGAUCUCCUGCUGCAUGGUGGUGGUUGGAAAGUUUCGGCGUUUGGGGAUGGACUCGCGGCUUAUCAGCUUGUUGGUGGGGUAGUGGCUUACCAAGGCUUUGACGGGUAGCCGGCCUGAGAGGGUGACCGGCCACAUUGGGACUGAGAGACGGCCCAGACUCCUACGGGAGGCAGCAGUGGGGAAUAUUGCACAAUGGGCGGAAGCCUGAUGCAGAAACGCCGCGUGCGGGAUGACGGCCUUCGGGUUGUAAACCGCUUUCGCCUGUGACGAAGCGUGAGUGACGGUAAUGGGUAAAGAAGCACCGGCUAACUACGUG
rnacentral:rRNA from 1 species